CAAACCUUGCUGGAGAAGCAGGGCACGUGCUUGACCGGUCGGCCGGAGCCGGGUUGCAGCAUGUGCGCUCCUUCUCCAGCAUGGCUUC
rnacentral:pre_miRNA from 1 species